GAACAAUAUUACUGUAGCCCUUGGGUUUAGUAAGAAGUCAAAAGAUUAUUGUGGCAUUUAUUCGUGCGUAUGGCAUAAAGAAAGAACACAUGGCCACCUUAUCUACUGCCAACAGCCAGCCACUUUCGCCGAGUGCGAGACGAAUGGUAUAAACACGGCACUGGAGUAUCCGGAAUGUUGUUGGAAAUGCGUAGAGUAUAAAGAUUGUUAGCUCUGAGGGGCUGAAAUUUUCAUAUUCGUGCAGAUCGAUCCUAUCCAAAAUUAUCUGACAAAGUGAAAGAAAUUUAAUUGGCUAAAAUGCAGAUACAAAUAAAAACGAAAUAAUUGUUA